rnacentral:rRNA from 1 species
AACGUAGGAGACAAACGUUAUCCGGAGUUACUGGGCGUAAAGGGCGUGCAGGCGGUCGACUAAGUCUGGCGUGAAAGCUCGCGGCUAAACCGCGAGAGGUCGUUGGAUACUGGUUGACUAGAGGACGGUAGAGGCGUGUGGAAUUCCGGGUGUAGUGGUGAAAUGCGUAGAUAUCUGGAGGAACACCGGUGGCGAAGGCGGCAUUCUGGACCGACAUUGACGCUGAGGAGCGAAAGCCAGGGGAGCAAACGGG